UAUCCAAACACAUACAUGUAGUUCAUAUUAGUCUGAAGUAUUUCUAGUACAUAGAAACUAACGUAUGCCAAAAUUAUUACUAGGAAAUUAAAAUUUUAUCAUGUGGGUCAACAGUGAGACCACUGUGGGUUCAGCUUUUAUUUUUCUCAUAAUUAAUAGUCACUUCUUAUGUUGGUAAAAUCACUGUGCUGUGUUGGGUUUUAUUUUUUCUCCUUGAAAUGGGAUCAGAAGGUAGAAGUUGACAUUAGUAGGGAAACUUCUCUCAGUCAAUGAUUUUAGUAUGUAAUCACUUUGCCUUUCUGCACAAGACUCUUGUCAGGAAGGGGAAGGAUUUAAUUCGGCCCAGAGUUUCAGAGGGUUUAUACCAUGCUUCUAUGGAUUCACUUCUUUGGGAAGAGGUAUGAUGAUUUAACAUGAUUCUAGAGGAGGCUGCUCUUCUGGUAUCCAUCAUGAUGAUAUAUGAAACCGCUUAGCAAAGUCAUCAAGCUAAGACUGCAUCAGUGGACACGUUUUGAUUUUGUCAGAGUUCUUAGGCCAAGAUAUCUCUGGUGAAUGACAAUAUAUGGGACCAAGUCGCCAACACAGAAUACUAAUGGGAGACAUAUUUACACUACACUAAAUUCAGAAACUAUAAAUGAAAGUUUGUCUUGUUUUAUUCUACAUACAUAUAUAUUUAAAUUUUUCAUUAUAGGCAUCUAAAUAAGAAUCCUAUAUGUAAUAUUUGAUCUAAAUACUAGACAGUUGCCUUUAUAUCAAUACAAAUUAAUAGCAUUAAGACACCAUGACUCUUGUGUCUGUUUUUAUUCUUUAUUUGAUUAUGAAACCUAAAAAGCCAAAAGCACAUUAAACUUCUUUCUGCGCCCUUUAUACUUUAAAGGUAAAUAAUUUUAUCUAGAUCAAUAAUAUUAAAUAUGCGUCUUCAGAUAUUUUUCUUACAAAAGCAAAAUAAAACAGAUUUAAAAGCCAAUAAUUGGUAAAGUUUUUCUCUUAUUUUUAUAGAAAUCUAGAAAUAUAUAAAUUUUAUGCCUUCUGGAUUUAAAAUUCACACAUCUCAUGUUCUUGUCAUAUGAGCUUUGAAUAUUUUAUGUAUAAUUAUAAACACAUCAAAGUAGAGUCUUGAACACUAUUUAAAUUUGUGGCCGAAUUCUUGUUCUUGUUGUGUGUCUUCAAGUGUCUCAUUAAUGGCAUUUACCUCUCCAUAUUGCAUUUGACUGAGGGCUUAGUCAUGCAAAAGUUCAUCAUUUGUUGUAAGAAGAGAGACUAGAAGAAAGAAAAUCCACUCUAUAUGUGUAUGCAAGGUAGGUUUACACAUUUCAAAAGGAGAUAAUAUUUAAAAGGAUUAAUUGUGUGCCCCAAAACACAAUUAAAUUUGUAAUAUGCAUAGUACUUUAGUCUGUGUUACUACUCUAGACUAUAUUAACAAAAUUCAAUAGCUGAAGAUAGGUUUCAAUACAUAUUGGAUCUGAAAAUUAUGAAGUUUGUUAUAAAAAAUAUAAUAAAAUAAUCUGGCAAGCAAAGGUAAAGGAUGGAACUCCACUUCAAUAUAAACUGCAUUCUUAACAGGCAUGGUUUUCCCACAAAGAAAAUUGUCUAAAUCCAAACAAGAAGAUAACCUUUUCUUUGUUUUAUUUCAGAGUUCUCUACACCCAUAUGAUACAUGGUCUCAUUCAUGUUACCUUAAAGUAAUAAUGUAUGCAUUAGGUGAACAAAUUGAGAACUUGUCUUGACUGCUAAUGAAUGUAUAAGUGAAUUCAAGCAAUGAAGGAAAAAGAAGAUUCAUUCUGUACAGUGGUGAGAUAAGUCAAAGAGUAAUUCGUUUUAGAACAAAGCCUAAAAUAGAGACAAAAACACCAAUUCCAGACACAAUCAUAAUGAGCAUCACUAAUUAUAACACAAUCAUCCUGAGAAAAAAAUCAAAGGGCAGAAAUCAACAAAUGGAGAAAAUGGAUGAAUCUCUUAGGUCUAUCCACCAGUGCCCUUACCAUGUAUGUUCAGAAUUCAACCUGACCUCUGUGCACCACUUUUGCCUGUCACUGUGAGGUGAGACUGAGGCUCUAGGUCUUCAUGGCUUGGAUUCCUGCAUCUCUGACCUCCUUGUGAGUCUCUAUACAGAAAGAGAACCAAAACGACAAGGUGCUGUGAAAGUAAUGGAUUCCAGCUACAUCUCCACACUGUCCUCUGCUGGAUCUCCAUGUUGUGCCAGUAGCAACAUCUCACUUCCCAACUCAUAGGUUGUCUCUCUGUGUGUGAUGAGAUGUACAGAAGCAGAGCCUUCUGAGUUUCUACUGAGACUGUACACUUUAAAAAUGCAAUAUUUUCAUGAAAAUGUUCUUAUUAAUUAAUGCAAACAACCAUGAAUAGAUAUAAAUAUGAAUGCGGUAUUACUCUGCCAUUGAAUCAUCUGCCAUCCUAUAGAAACAGAUGAUUUAACUAUACAAACAUAUAUAGUAUAUGUGCUGAUAAAUUUUACCCAGAAGAAAAGGGUACAUGAUAUAGAUAAGAGACCAAACAAAGACACUACAGAUAUUAAUAUUUAUGUUACAGAUGAUAUAGGCUUAGACAAUAUAAAUGCAUAAAUAUAAUAGAUGUUAGGAGGAGGAUUAAAUAUAGUUAUACCUAGAGAUGCAGACACUUGAUGGAAAGAGAGACAGAUACAGUUAAUGGUAGCACUAGAUAGAGAAUUAACAUCUAACAUCAUGACAGAUAGAAUUUCUGGCAGGUUAGGAACAGUGGCAUGAGCACACCUGAACAUGAACACAAAUAAACAAAUAUAUUGACAGUAAUGAAAACUGUUCAAACUACUGUAAGCUAGAUUUUUAGUUCCUUUUAAAUGUCUUUGAAAGAGACAUUGUAUAUUUACUAAUGAAGUUAACAAGCAUAUUAACCUAAAGGAAUCCAGAUAUUAGGCAUUGAUAAUAACCAUAAACAGGAGUCGUUGUGCUACACAUAUUGGGUUUGCUAUUUAUUAUACACUAUCACAGGGAAUAUGUACAUAAAAACAGGUCCCAAAAUUAGUGUUAAGUUCAGUGAAGAAGUCAAGCAUUUAGAAAUUAGAUGGCUUGAUUAAUAAUACUUUUGGAGUUGAUGUCUGAGGCUCUGAAUUACAGUUCUAAGCUCUGCAAAUCUCAUAUAUCAAGUUUUUUAUGUACUUCAGUGUGUUAAAAUGGCCUUCUUUGUAAGGUUUGAAUAGAGAUGAAGCCCUACUAUGAUUUCCAUUCAUCGCUGAAUCAUUUUUACGUGGUUAUUACAUAUUAAGAGCAUUUCAAAAUUAUUUAUAUUUUAUCCAGUUACAUCUGACAAAGUUUUGCAAGCAAUAAGAAUCUGUGUCCAGAGAUAGCCGGCCACCUUCCUGGUGAGAGCACGGGGGUCUGCCCGGCCUGAGAGGUUUGUGGCACAGGCGCCGGCGGGAGCCUUCUUGGCUCCGGGACUCCGCGGAGGGCAGGCUGCACGGGUGACCAUGUGGAAUACAGAGUGCCAGCCAUUUCUGGGACGGGUGAGAGUCGCAGAGCUUCUGGGGCGGCGCCAUCUUCAGCUCCAGAUAGCCGGCCACCUUCCUGGUGAGAGCAUGGGGGUCUGCCCAGCCUGAGAGGUUUGUGGCACAGGCGCCGGCGGGAGCCUUCUUGGCUCCGGGACUCCGCGGAGGGCAGGCUGCACGGGUGACCAUGUGGAAUACAGAGUGCCAGCCAUUUCUGGGACGGGUGAGAGUCGCAGAGCUUCUGGGGCGGCGCCAUCUUCAGCUCCAGAUAGCCGGCCACCUUCCUGGUGAGAGCACGGGGGUCUGCCCAGCCUGAGAGGUUUGUGGCACAGGCGCCGGCGGGAGCCUUCUUGGCUCCGGGACUCCGCGGAGGGCAGGCUGCACGGGUGACCGUGUGGAAUACAGAGUGCCAGCCGUUUCUGGGACGGGCGAGAGAGUCGCAGAGAUUCUGGGGCAGCGCCAUCUUCAGCUCCAGACAACCAGCCACCUUCCCGGCAAGAGCCACAGAGCUUCUGAGGCAGCGCCAUCCUCAGCUCCAGACGGCCGGCCUCCUUCCGAACAAGAGCCACAGAGCUUCUGAGGCGGGGACAUCUUCGACUCCAGACAACUGGCCACCUUCCUGGCCAAAGCAACACAGCUUCUGGGAAAGAUCCUGUUUUGGGCCUUCACCUUCAGCCAGGAGGAGGUCCAAACACCAGAUAACUGUACACCUUCCCUGAAAGAGGAGAGCUUGCCUACAGAGACUGCUCUGACCACUGAAACUCAGAGAAGAGAGCUUGUCUCCCACGCCUGCUGAUAGAGGGUAACAAAAUCAACAGAGGAACAAUCUCUUAACAAAGACAACUAUAACAACUAACUCCAGAGAUUGCCAGAUGGCGAAAGGUAAACGUAAGAAUCCUACUAACAGAAGCCAGGAGCACUCACCAUCAUCAGAACCCAGAACGCCCACUUCACCCAAUCCAGGACACCCUAACACACCUGAAAAGGUAGACCUGGAUUUAAAAGCAUAUCUCAUGAUGAUGGUAGAGG
rnacentral:lncRNA from 1 species